UUUUCUUAUCUGACCACCAUGUGUCUGCUGUUUGUGUGCGGCUAUGUGUCAGAUGCAGAUCUACUGAAAGCAAAAAGGCUUUGAUUUUUCCUCCUUCCAGCAUCAGUGAGAAGGGUACUCUCCACAGCCCAGCUGUGAACAUGACUGCAAUGCCCUUCUGCCCAAGUCCGUCCUUUGAGGUAGACCCAGUUGUCCAUGGAGAGAUGUAUUGUAUCAUUCUGAAUUAAUUGCGUGCAACUUUUUGAGGCAAUCCACAGAAUCAUGCUUUGUCUGAUAUAAGCUUCAUAUCGUUGAAAAAAUUGAGGAAGAUACAGUAUUAUACAUUCUUAUAAAACUUGCUGUCGGUUCUGAUGAAUGGAAGCAGGAGGAGGAGAUGAGUGUUUGUAUUCCUUCAGAUUGAGGAGAGGCGUGAGGCCAGACUCAGGAUGCUGUGGGAGAACAGCUCAGCUGCCCAGCACCCAACAAGGAGCAGCUCUGUGAACAAGAACAGGAUCCCAAGGGCAAGCAGAACUUCCUGGUUGCAGGCCCUGCCUUCUUUCGACACCAUGGGAAGAUUUUCUAGGAUGAAACGUUGUCGAUUCUUCAAGCAGCAUGUGUCCUCUUAGAAAUCAAUGAAAGAACUGCUCUAGCAAAAUAUUUAAAAUAUUUCUUUCAUCUGUAGAGAACUGAACAGCCAACUUUUAAUAAUCUGACAUAUUCAACUGACUUCAAGUGGUAGCUCAAGCUCUCUUUCCCAUGAAGAAUUCCUAGGAACUGACAGUGCUGUUGAGCACUUUGAUCACAAGGCACAUGCUGCAAGAAUGCUUCAGAUUUCUCACAGCCUGAAGCACAUGCAAUAAAGGGCACCUGAAUGAAGUUCUGCACAGAAUAUGGUGCUCUGUAGUUCUUCAUAAGGGACUCAGAUUUUGAAUUGUUCAUGAUUUUUAACACUUCUGAUUGUAGCAGCUUGGGCUCUCAGUGUUGGUCUCAUAUUCAGAGAGCACAACAUUGGUGAUUUUCUUUGCUCAGCACAUUCUAACUCCUUACCUAAGUGGUAACGCUGGAUUUCUUUAACAUAUCUGUGAGCUCUGGUCCAUAUCCAAGUCAUGAUUUAGCUUGUUAUCACAGACUUUAUUAAACCAAAAAACUUGUAGGACUGGAACUGCUGACAUAGAAUUGAGAUUAACUGCUUUCUGUGUGGGUUUUUUAGGUCUGUUCUUUUUCAGAAAAAUCUGUCUUUUACGCAGAAUAUCAUACUCCUUGAGCACUUCUGAUAUGCAGUUUUAUCGUUAGCUCAGGUGAUUGACUAUGCAUUAUUAAAAGCAAGGCCAGAAAUAAGACUACCUGCAAUUAGCCAGAACUCAUCAUUUGUAAUUAUGACAUGGAUUGCUAUUUAAGUGUCCAUCAGUCCCACGUUUCCAAGGAGUGCCAGAGGACGCCUUCUGGCGUAUUAUAUUUAGCAGCACAUCCACAGCCUGACAGAGUCUGUCAAUGAUCUGCUUCCUUCAGUUAUCAAGUUUAAGCAAUCAGUAUUAAACCACUGAAGAAGAUACCUGGUUCCAACUGAAGUGCAGCUCAGUUCCCAGUAUCCACUGCCUUUUCACUUAAAAUUGAAAGUGCCUGGUUUAUUUUUUGUCCAUAACAUAGUGGGAGGAAUGGGAAAAAUGCGCUCUGGAGGAGGUUGAGUCUGAAGCUUCUCAGGAGCCCCUGGCCAGAUCUGAGGCCCCUUGCACUUUACAUUCGCUGGCUACUUCUGGUGAUAUGUUCUGUUUAUUAUUUGAUACAAAAUAGGCCAAACAGUGGAUAUCACACUUUAGUAGUCAAACAAUACUGAGAGACUACAUCUGAUAAAGAAGAAAAGACACUAAUCAUGAGUUUGGAUGUACAGAGACACUGAACUGAUACUGUUCUCAUUCACAUUGCUGAUUAAAGUGUUCAUAAAUCUUUAGCUAAGAAAUUAUUCUUGGUAUACCCAGCAGAAACAAAACAGUUUUCCUUUAAAAUUUCAACUUAAUCAAACAUAUUAUCUAAUCAACACAUAGCCUAUCAGCCUCAGAUUCUGUUAGCCUUUUCAUCAGAACUUCAUGCAGUGAAAUGAGAGAAGUCCAAAUGCACUCCUGCAAUUAGUUACUGAGUUAGUGUGACAGAACAUGCUUUCAACAGGUAGGUCUUUAGUAUUUGUAUGUUAAUAGCAUAGUAACAGUGUGUUAACAUAUUAAUUAUAUUAUCAUCCUCUAGCUUUUUAUUCUUAGAGUUUCAAAGUAGCUUUUCUAUCAUUUUAAUCACAAUUUGUAAGUGAUUUGCAGAUCUGUCAUUUUCUGGUGAUGUGGUUUAGCCUUUCAUACGCAGCAGAGCAUUAUUUUUCUUUGAUUUAUCUGUUCCUUUGACUAACAGCUAAAGAUUUAGUGAGAUAUGCAAAAGCAGUCAAUAAAAUCCCUUGCUCAUUGUCAUAUUGUCUCCUACAGAAGAUUAUGAUAUAAAAGAAAAGCUUCGUCCUCCAAAUAAAUUCUCAAUAAACAUUUAUUUUCACUUGCAUGAUUAAAAUUGUGAUAAAAAUAUACCAUUCUUGCUAUCAAGCUGAUACUGAGCAAUGUCUGUGGAGAUUUGAACAUGACAUCAGAUUGGUUUAUUUUUCUCCUAGUUACAAAUCAGACUUUAUUUGCACAGAGGUACUUUUUCAGCUAAGGAUAUUAUGCUUAGAGAUGAACAAUCACCCAGGUUUUCUAUUUUAGGUAUGAUUUCAUCCGUCAAGUUCUGAUUAAAAUAAAUGCUGUUAAAUAAGUGUUGAAUUACAUAUUUUGGAAUUAUUUGGAAGUGUGUAAACAGCAGAGGAGCCGAAACAUAAAUUGUUUGCAUACCAGGAAAUCAUCCAGUAAGGGCACGAUGUCAUUUUUGAGGCUUGAUUGUGUUAUUUCCAUCAAUUUUCUUCUGAUAUCUCCACGAGACCAGAACUAUGUGAAGGCAUUACAGAGAACUCUUCUCUGUAAGUUGUGGUGAAUUCAAGCUGCUUGGUAAUUUUGUGCCCUUACUGCAACUAGCCUACUGCUCUCAAGGAUGCUAGAUGCUAAAUCCAUCUGUUUCUGAAGGUGUGAAUAGAAUAUUUCUAUAUUAUAGCUUGCUUUCAUAUGAGAAAAAAACAAGUACUUUGUUGGUCUGAUGGUGUUUUUGCAUCCUAGGAGAUAUUUCUAGCCUUAGUGAAGUUGCUUUUCCUUCUGUGGGAGAGAAAAACUAAAUCCACUGCUUCUGGCAUAAUGCUUAGAUAAUUUUUCAGAGAAAUUAAGAUAAUAAAUUAAUUUUAGAUAUAAUCUGUUAUUAUUUCAUCAAAAAGGGACUGUAUAAAUUGAAAAUUGAGUCUCUUCUAUUUAUAUUUACUACGUUUUUGUUGCUUAACAAAUGGUUUCCAUUCACCCUAACAGAACCUACAGAGCUUCAAACUUGCUAUUCUGCUGCUAUUGCAAAAAUUUAA